rnacentral:rRNA from 1 species
AAGAUGCUAAUAACCGGAUAACAACAGAUGAUGCCUAUCAACUGUUUAAAAGAUGGUUCUGCUAUCACUCUUGGAUGGACCUGCGGUGCAUUAGCUAGUUGGUAGGGUAACGGCCUACCAAGGCGAUGAUGCAUAGCCGAGUUGAGAGACUGAUCGGCCACAUUGGAACUGAGACACGGCCCAAACUCCUACGGGAGGCAGCAGGG